AUUGAACGCUGGCGGCAGACCUAACACAUGCAAGUCGAGCGGAGCGGCGGACGGGUGAGUAAUGCCUAGGAAUCUGCCAGGUAGUGGGGGAUAACGUCCGGAACCGGGAGCUAAUACCGCAUACUAUCGGAUGAGCAUAGGUCGGAUUGGCUAGUUGGUGGGGUAAAGGUCUACCAAGGCUACGACCCGUAACUGGUCUGAGAGGAUGACCAGUCACACUGGAACUGAGACACGGUCCAGACUCCUACGGGAGGCAGCAGUGGGGAAUAUUGGACAAUGGGCGAAAGCCUGAUCCAGCCAUGCCGCGUGUGUGAAGAAGGUCUUCGGGUUGUAAAGCACUUUAAGUUGGGAGGCGUUACCAACAGAAUAAGCACCGGCUAACUCCGUGCCAGCAGCCGCGGUAAUUC
rnacentral:rRNA from 1 species